rnacentral:rRNA from 1 species
GACGAACGCUGGCGGCGUGCCUAAUACAUGCAAGUUGAGCGAUGAAGCUUGGUGCUUGCCCCAAUUUGAAGAGCAGCGCACGGGUGAGUAACGCGUGGGGAAUCUGCCUUUGAGCGGGGGACAACAUUUGGAAACGAAUGCUAAUACCGCAUAACAACUUUAAACAUAAGUUUUAAGUUUGAAAGAUGCAAUUGCAUCACUCAAAGAUGAUCCCGCGUUGUAUUAGCUAGUUGGUGAGGUAAAGGCUCACCAAGGCGAUGAUACAUAGCCGACCUGAGAGGGUGAUCGGCCAAAAUGGGAAUGAGACACGGACCAAAAGCCUACGGGAGGCAGCAGUAGGGAAUCUUCGGCAAUGGACGAAAGUCUGACCGAGCAACGCCGCGUGAGUGAAGAAGGUUUUCGGAUCGUAAAACUCGGUUGGUAGAGAAGAACGUUGGUGAGAGUGGAAAGCUCAUCAAGUGACGGUAACUACCCAGAAAGGGACGGCUAACUACGUG